rnacentral:rRNA from 1 species
GUAACACGUAUGCAACCUACCCUUUACUGGGGCAUAGCUCAGAGAAAUCUGAAUUAAUUCCCCAUAAUACAAUUGAAUGGCAUCAUUUGAUUAUUAAAGCUGAGGCGGUAAAGGAUGGGCAUGCGUUGCAUUAGCUAGUUGGUGAGGUAAUGGCUCACCAAGGCUACGAUGCAUAGGGGUUCUGAGAGGAUGAUCCCCCACACUGGUACUGAGACACGGACCAGACUCCUACGGGAGGCAGCAGUAGGGAAUAUUGGUCAAUGGACGCAAGUCUGAACCAGCCAUGCCGCGUGCAGGAAGACGGCCCUCUGGGUUGUAAACUGCUUUUAUAUGGGAAGAAACCUCAUUAUGCGUAAUGAACUGACGGUACCAUAUGAAUAAGGAUCGGCUAACUUCGUGCCAGCAGCCGCGGUAAGACGAAGGAUCCAAGCGUUGUCCGGAUUUACUGGGUUUAAAGGGUGCGUAGGCGGAAUUUUAAGUCAGUGGUGAAAGCCCUUCGCUCAACGAAGGAACUGCCAUCGAAACUGAAAUUCUUGAAUACGGUUGAGGUAGAUGGAAUAUAACAUGUAGCGGUGAAAUGCUUAGAUAUGUUAUAGAACACCGAUUGCGAAGGCAGUCUACUAAGCCGUGAUUGACGCUGAGGCA